ensembl:lncRNA
CGUUUUUUUGCAGAUUGUUCUUGGAGAGCUUCAGUGCUCAGUACUUAGUAUAAUAAAUAAGAUGGGCCCUUAGGGCAUAAUAAUUAACCUAACAAAUGUUUAAGAAAGAUUUUUAACAAGGUAAGAGCAGGUCUUGUCACUUCAAAGGUGUAAGAGAUUAUUCUUUUGCACUAUUGUCUCAAAGUUUGCUGAGGAACACUGAUGGACACAUCCUGGGCAAGGGCUGAGAAAUCUUUUGUCUGAAGGACACAGACGGUAAAGUCCGGACAAGUCCUUCUCAAAGUUGGCGAAAUCUUUUGUCUGAAGAUUUUACAAGCCAGGGGCAACGAGAGAGAGAGAAAUCGCAGCUUAAUGGCCGGGAAGCAGUCUUUUGUGUGGGUUUAUCUCGAGGGAGAUAGCCAUCUCGGGGGGGUACUGCACAUGGCUCUUACCCAAGCUUACCCAAGCUCUUACCCACACUGGCAGAAGAAGAAGGAUAAAAAGGGAGCCAACAACCAAGAGAUUAGGUGUCAGACAUCAGAAGCCUCACGAGCUGAUGCCUGAAAGCUGAAGGACUCUCUUCUGGACCUGCUACCUGAGAUCUGCUGCUUCCUCCUGGACUUACCCAGCUGCUUGUUCCUGGCACCUGCUUGCAGCUUAAAGCCUGUCACGCUGCUGCUGCUCUCCCCCUGCGCUUUUGCCUCGGACAAUCGGAACAACAUACAACGGGACGCUGCUGGAUCUUGCCUUCGAACUUCUUCCCCACAUGUCCCAGAAGAGGGAAGCGUCGUGCGAGGGGAAGCCCUGUCACUGUUGAUAUAAUCAAGUAAACAGCAACAAUGUGAUAAUACAAGAGAAAUGCAGAGGACUGGUAUUUUGUUUAGUGUCAGUGUGAGGACAAUGUUGGUAAUCUCUUUCAAAUUCUUUUCAAUAAAAACAAUCAACUAUUUGCAGGAAUAUUUGCCCUCUUGAUUUAGUGCAUGGUUCCCAGCUUAGAAUGCAGUUACAAAAUAUCUCUUUAAAAAAUAAUUCUUUAACAUCUGUAUUUUUAUAUGUAGUUGUUCUGAGUUUUAAAAUAUGUUCUGAUAAAGGAUCAUCCAGAUAUCUCUAAUAUCUGGUGACAAAAUUUUGUGCCAUAGCAUCAGUCAAAAUGAGACUCAGUCAAAACGUGACUCAGACAAAAUGUUUUGGUGUUGUAUCUACCAUAACACUGAUGAUAGAUGAGAAUGUUCUGUAUUUUGUCAUAUGGGCACAUAAAUCAUAAAAUAUGUCUUUAUACAUAUCAUGUUAUUUAGUGCACAUUUUCACCAACAACACCACAUGAUGCAAAGACGUUGAUACCAUACAUUUUCUGCAUUCUGUAGGCAUGGAGGAGUAUAGGAAGUUUGAUAGACAGCUAAGGAACAGGAGUCUCCUACAUCAGGAAGGAUACACACCUUGUAUACCAUCAUUUUUAGCACAUAUAUCUUCCUUAUAAGACAUGCACUCUAAAAAUUUGAAAUUUUGUCUUUGAUUCAGCAGUCAUUUGCUACUGACAGGGAUCUUGAACAAUACACCAGUCAACAAGUAGCAAUUCAAGUGCCCAGAAAUCUUAGACUGUGGGUAAUUUUACCAAUAAGUAAGCGAUGAUUUUAAAAAGCUAGAAGGAGACUUGGUAAUUCCCAAUACAUGUGAUGAUCUGAGCCUUAUGACUAGUCUUAUGUUAGCUUACAGUGAAGGAGAGAUUUCCCAGAGGUUUAUUGUUGUGGUUUAACCCAGCAGGUGGCUGAGCUUCAUGCAGUUGCUUGCUCACUCACUCCCCCUUUCCAAGUGGAAUGGGGGAGAGAAUCAGGAAAAAAAAAAAAAAAAAAAAAAAAAAGUAGAACUUAGUACAAAAAAAAGUAGAAUAAUGUACAGUACAGCUAAUUUUCAGAUGUCUGCUAACAUUUAAUUUAAAGCUUCACCAUUACUUUGUUUUUAUACAUCUUGUGUAAUCAUUUGACAAUUUUUUGAAAUGGUAGAUUAAUAUUAGUACGAAUGAGCUAGCAAGCUGUCCAAGGGUAAGUAGAAAGCAGAGGAAUGAGAAAGCCUGCUUAUGAAUAGUAAGCAAAAUAAAAACAAGUCAUGGUAAAGGAUUUAUUUUUUUUUUUUUUCUUUAAUAUUGCAUUGUAUAUAUUAACUGUGAAGCAAAUGACUGGAAAACAACAGUGAGCUAUUCAUGGUAUCAUGCUAAACUAUGGUAAAAAAUAAGCAUGUUUCCUAUUUAAAUGUUGAAGGUUUGAACAUUAUCUUUUAUUCUUCUCUGCGGUGGCAUGCAGAUCAAAAGAUGACAGUCACGUAGUAAAAUGCAUAUUUAUUAAUUUACAUUGUAGUAAUUUAAGCAAUUGUCGAAUAAUUUAGAUGUCUUGCAUAUAUUUACCUUCAUAACUGGGUUCUGAAAAUAAGAAGGCUAUAUUUGAACAGACUAUCAUGAAUGUGAAAAUAUAUUCCCAAAAAUAAGCAAAUUCAAGAAGAUUAUAUUGGUUUUGGUUUGCUUUGUUGUUUUAUUAUUUUAUCUUACUUUUUAAUUCAUCCUACCCGCAUAAGUGCCUAAGGAGAAUAUGCAGAGUCAUGUGCACUCCCUAACAGAUGCCUCCUAUUUUAAACACCACUGCCUAAUUAGAUGAGAACUGCACAAGGCAAAAUAGCAGAACCUGCAAGCAGAAUGAGGAACAUGUGGGAUUUACAUUUUUCAUUAGUCCAAAUCUGCACAUCCACUAACUCAAACAUUUUUGACCACAAGAUUAAAAAUCAGAAAAAUAUGAAAGAGUUAAGAGUUAGCAAAGGUAUCAGAGAUGAAUAUGAGGGCCUCAUCAGAGGCUGCCCAUUCCUAUUUCAGUUCUUUCUGCAGGUUGCUCUAAAUGCAUCUUGCUUGGUUCCCGACAGUGUUGUUCUCACUGAUGGAGAGUGAAGCCAGAAAGAAUAACCCUAAGGACAGGUAAAAGAAUCAUGGUCUUUCCUAGCACUACAGUCUAAUUUGUGGUAUUCUAAUAUACGUCUAAUCUUGCAGUGAAUCCUUUAUUGCAAGACAGUUGUGUAAAACUGGGAUAUCUGCAAGUUCAAGCUGAUAGACAUUUAAUUUGCUAAAAUCACAUAAGUAAAGCUGGAAUAUAGAUCACAUGGUUUGUUUACAUGGUACUUUGUAUAGGAGGACAAAAAUAGAAGAGGGUGAAUUCAAGUGAAUACAUUAAAUUAAACCAAUUAUUUUUUAACUAAUAAUUUUUAAGUUAUUUUUAGCACAUAUGAUAGACAGUGGGGACUAAUGAAUUACAAUACACUCACCACACAUUGUAGGACACCUGUUAAAUCUUUGUUAGCUCAUCAAGCACUCAUCUAUUAGUUGGCUGCUGUUACUUUUUGAAUCAUAGAAUCAUAGAAUCACCAAGGUUGGAAAAUACCCACAGGAUCACCCAGUCCAACCAUCCACCCAUCACCAAUAGUUCUCAUUAAACCAUGUCCCUCAACACAACAUCCAAACGUUUCUUGAACACCUCCAGGGUCAGUAACUCCACCACUUCCCUGGGCAGCCCAUUUCAGUGCCUGAACUGUGCUGCUUCUUUUUCUUUUGCUGAGUUGCUAUCUUUCAGUUCCUUGUUUGUUGGUUGGUUGGUUUUCCAUAGGAUUUUAUACCUUUUCAUGGCAGUCUUUUCCCUGCUAAAUUCUUGAAGUACUGCUUACCCAGACUCAGCAGUCUUGCCUCUGAAAUAUUACAUUUCUUACCUUGACUGGAUGUGGUUUAUGUAUUUCCUCAUGGCUCCAUGUCACAUCUAAACAGUUUUUUUUUUCCAAAGUCUAAGCCAAGGUUGCAGAGCUACGCUGUAUCAAAAUAAAGUCUUGUGCCACAGACUGCUGAAUUCCUGGGAGUAACAUUAUGCACUGGUUACACCUGUACUGGCUUAUUUAACUGGGUCAGGGACCACCCAAAGGCACUGGAAGGCAGCCAGCUGUGAUAUUGAAUUGGUAGCAUACUGCUUAGCAUACUUUGGUCAGCACCAACUAGUAUGUCCCUGAUGCUUUUAAGGGUUAACAUUGCACAGGAAUGGUUAACACUAGGUAGUUUUGAUGUAGCUUCCCAGUAGUGUUUUGAGAGAGUUAAAUAAUUUGGACUCUUAUACCAGAGAGUAAAUACAGGCAUGCUAACUUUGUUAGCACCAAUGUAGUCUUGCAAUCCACCAAUCUGGCCUUCAGCAGCAAUGCAAAAGAAGAGAGGGGCAUGCCACUCCAAAUCAGAAUGGAUAUAUUAUUCUUGAUGUCAACUAUAAUGAAAUAUUAAAGCAAGACAUUUUGGAAAGGUUGGGGCAAUGAGGAUAGUUGGGUUUCCAAAGGCAUCAGUUUCACUACAACUGCAGAACAAAACCCACAAAGCUAUGACAAAAAUAAGUUUGCAAAAUGAGGACAAAUUCAUGUAAAACUAGAUAUAACUUUUUUUCUGAAAUGAAUAUGUAUAAAUACACAUGCAUGCACACAUGAAAAUGAGUAUGUUCCAGUGAGGUUGUUAACACAAUUCCUCUCAAAAUAACUUCAAAGAAUUAACAUAAUGAAUGUGUAAAUUAAAGCAGAAACAUGUUACAUUUUCAGUACCUCACAAGCUGAAAGCAGCUUGUCUGAUUUGCUUUGAACUUUCAAAUAUUCAUCUUUUGUAGUUUCAAACUAAGCAAAAGAAUUUGAAGGCCAGAAAGAACAGGUUGUUCUUUAAACAGUGACAGAGUUACUGAAAAGUAGGCUAAAAAGUGCAAUACUGGUUGCAUCAUCAACUAGCCCCACUCUUUCAAGUUCUGCAGACUCAUAGCACUGUCUGAAGAAGCAUGUGACAUUUAAGUUCUUACUUAGGUUUGCUUAGCAUUGAUAGUCCAAUAUGUCCAAAUGAAUUUGGACUAUUCCUCUCAAACUGUGAUGCAUUUUGCCUCCUUAAUGUAUUCUACAUGGUUUAUUCUACAUUAAUUGAACUUCAUUUUCCUUUCCUUUUAAAAGUUUUACCCUGAUAUUGAGGAAAAAACACAGACAGGAUAAAAUCAUAAAACCAUAGAAUAGUUUAGGUUGGAAAAGACCAAGAACAUCAAGUCCAACCAUCCAAGUAACAUUACAAGUUGAACAGUGUCCCUAAGUGCCAUAUCCACGUGUCUCUUAAACACCUCCAGGGAUGGCAGCUCUACCACUUCCCUGACUAGCAUGUUCAAAUGCCUAAUCACCCUUUCUGCAAAUAAAUUAUUCUUGACAUCCAUUCUAAACCUGCUCUGGUGCAACUUGAAGCCUUCUGCCUUACCACUUGUCACCUAAGAAAAAAGACCAACAUCUUCCUUGUUACAGCUUCCUCGUAGCGAGCAAUGAGGUGUUCGCUAAGGCUCUUUGCUCCAGAUUUCUUUAAACAGACCCAGUUCACUCAACCACUCUCACAAAUCUUGUUUUUAAAUAACAAUCAUAGUAUGUUAAUGAAUGUCUUUUGUGUGUGUGUGUGUAUGUGAAGGUACCAAUAAGCAUGUAUUUUCCCUUAUAUGACUACUUCUUGUCUCUCAAGAUAAACAAGAGGUUUGGUAAGAACACCACACAUCUUGUAUUGACACUGACUAAAACCUAUUGAGUUAAUUAGCACCAGAUAGUCAAGGAAGUAAAACUGUUAUAGUCCAAUAUGUGUUAUUCCAUAUCUCCUGUGAUUCUGAAGGAAAGUGUUCCUCCUUCUAAUACCUUAUAUCUUCUCCAGAGGCAUGUUAUCUUCCUAUUUUGCUUCUUUUCUGAUAUUGCUUAUUUCCAUUCAACACAUCUAUUAGAAAGUGCAUAAAAGAAAAAGGAAAAAGAGAGAAAAAAAAAAAAGAGAGAGAGGGAAAAGGAAAUAGAGGAAAAGGGAAAGGAAAAGGAGAAAGGAAGAUAGAAAGGAAAAAGGAAAAAAAAAGGGAAAAAAAAAGAAAAGGGAAAAAAAAAUUGUAACCAUUUCAUGUUUACUAUAGUGGAAACCAUGUAAUGUAUAUCACAGUGUAGUUAAGAGAAAGGAAUAGAAGUAAAUUAAAGCCAAAGAAUAGAAACGCCAUAUGUCACAGAUUGUUGAACACCUGUUUUUCCACUAACACCCUCAAAUCUAAUGAGAGGGCAUCUUUAAAUUUGGGGUGGGAGAGCUGAUGAUAUAUUUUAAUCUUGAUAGAAUAGACAGUAAAAGAUACCAAAUAAAUUUCGUGGCACGUGAACUGGCACGCUGUUCUAUUAUGGGACAAGCAAGAACAAAUGUUGAACUUGUGCAGUUCUAUUGUGUCUCUCGUUCUCUCUCUCUCUCUCUCUCUCUCUUUUUUUUUUUUUUGUUUCUGUUAUUGUUGUUGAUUUAUGUGUUUCCUUAUUUUAAUCCCAGACAUCUUUUCAGCUAUUGUCUUUAUUAUUCUUUAGUACACAACAAUCAACCAUCUUGCUUCCUUUUCUUGCCCUACAGGAGAGCUAUGUACUCUCAUUCCAUCUGCCAUCAGACUCUCCCAGGUAAUAAAUGAGAGAGAUGAUGAGCACUCUGCUUGCUUCCCUCAGGUGCUGUGACUUACCCUCCUGGAAGUGCUUUUUGCUUGAGGGAUCCUGGCUGCUAGUACUUUCCUCCUCGUUUCUCUCUCCUGCACCAAUGGAGAGCGAAAAGAAGACCACAGAACCAUAACUGCCAGCCAUCUGCUUUCUCUGUGGACUAGAAAUAAGCAUCAAAAAAUCAGAAAUAAUUAACCCCCAUUAUGACUUGAUCUAUUAGAAAUGUUACACUCUGAUUAUGUAGAGAAUGCAAAGAUUAUGUAAAGAUAGUGAGAAAAAGGGAUAGUUAUUAUUUAACAUUCCAAUUUUCCCAGUGAAAAGGAAGCAGAAAAUAUAAAGAAAAAAUAGAUAUUCUAAGCAAAGUCAGGAGUUCUACAAAUGAAUACUCUAUCAUCCACUCCAAUUUCUCCCAGUGUUGUUAAUGUUUUUUACAUUAACUCUAUUAUGUCAUGUACAUUCACUCUAUAAACUACAAAAGCUAUAAGCUGAGGAUUCUUUUUUUCUUAUUAUUAUCAUGGACACUUCAUAGCCAAUAGUAUUCAUCCAGAACAUUUCAAAAUAAUGGAUAAUGCAGGAAGACAGUAGAAGGGAAGCUUUUAGCACACACGUCAACAAAAUGCACAAUGUUGACUAACAAAUCAUUAGGGGCAAUUUAUGACUACAAAAAAAAAAAGGCAGAAAUAUUAAAAAAAAAAGAAAAAAUGAUAAUAUUUCAGACAAUAAAGUACUAGAAAAUAGAAUAAACUUUUGCUGGAAAUUAAAUAUCACUAUGAUGGGUGGAUGAGAUUUUUUAGAGAAAAAGAUUUUAAUGACAAAAUAAUGUUUGUAAAUAAAAUUGUCUGAAUAUAGUGUCAAAUUAAUUUGGUUAUCUUCAAGAAAACUAAUCACUUCAAAAUUUGCCCCUAUAUAUCUAUGCAAAAUAAAUCUUACCCUCAGCACCCCUCCUUCAAUCUUGGCCAUGUAGAAGUCACUUUGAAGGACCCCCUAAAUUUAUCAACACUUGCUGAGCAUUUAUAGAGACCAAACAAUUGAUAUUAGCACAAUAACACAGUGGGUGGUGUGUUUCAGCAGUGCCAACAGUGAUAAUGGGUCACUUCCAUUGCUGUAGAUAUUUAGGAGUGUAUCAUGCAGCUCAUUGCUGGCAAAAAAAAAAAAAAAAAAAAAAAUGCACAGCUAAUCGUGGUGACUGUAUAUAAAAAUAGUGUUUUGUGGCUGAGAAUUUUCUCUAUCAAUAGUGUUAUUACAAGCUUUGAAUCUGUUGUAGUUUCCAUGGAAAUACAUAGGAGGCAUUACUUUUGAAGCAACCUACAUACUUCUGGAAACAUUUUAGGCUAACCAAUAAUUUUACCUAUUUUUAUGUAUAUAUACAAACAUAUAAGUAUUCACACACCUACUUCAAACAUCUUGCUAUCUUCACAAUUGUUACCCUUUGUAUUUCACAUUUUCUUUCACAGCCUUCAGUUUUCUUAUUUCCUUCAUUCUAGAAGAAUAUUGUUUUCUCUUUUAAUUUUUAAUACUUUCACUGCUUAUAAAAUGUUACAUCAAAGUUCAGUGUCUGGAUUCAAAAUGUACACCUGUAUAAGUAAAAUAGUAUAAGGGCAUUAACCUGACCACUGGCCUGUGGCAGUCCACAGAGUUACCAUUAACAGAUGUCAUCUAGCACUCUCUGAGUAUUCUCUGAGUGUAGUCCAAGGAACAAAGGCAUCAGCAACAGAUCUUUUCUAUUUUCUGUUUUAUAUGUAGUCACCCUAUUCCAGAAGAGAAAAAGAGUGUAAUGGACAAGGAGACUGUUCCCCCUCUGAUGAAAGGUAAUGGGGAGCUGGCUUCCUCAGACAUAGAAAAAGCUGAGGCACUCAAUGAGUUCUUCUCCUCAGUCUUCAUGGGUGGUCAGGCUUCCUGUGUCUGCUAGGACCAUGAGCCUCUAGGUGAGGGUAUGGGGGGUGGUUUUUGUUGCACUGUAACGGUGGAACAAGUCCGAGUCCUCCUCAUGAAUCUGAAUGUGUAUGGCCAUACAUACUGGGGCCCCCAGUGCAGGAAGGACAUGGAGCUCUUGGAGCGGGUCCAGAGGAGGGCCACUAAGAUGAUCAGAGGGCUGGAUCUCCUCUCCUGUGAAGAAAGGCUGAGGGAACUGGGCUUGUUCAGCUUGGAGAAGAGAAGGCUCUGGGGAGACCUCCUUAUGGCCUUUCAGUACUUGAAGGGAGUGUAUAAACAGGAGGGGGAAUGACUGUUUACUAGGGUGGAUAGUGAUAGGACAAGGGGGAAAGGUUUUAAACUGGGACAGGGGAGGUUUAGAUUAGAUAUUAGGAGGAAGUUUUUCACUCAGAGGGUGGUGACACACUGGAACAGGUUGCCCAAGGAGGUUGUGGAUGCUCCAUCUCUGGAUGCAAUGAACACUAGUCUGGAUGUGGCUCUGGGCACCUGGUCUGGUGGUUGGCAACUCUGCACAUAGCAGGGGGGUUGAAGCUAGAUGAUCAUUGUGGUCCUUUUCAACUCAGGCCAUUCUGUGAUUCUAUGAUUCUAUGGUAUCAGUCAUGCCUUGCCAAGUGGUAGGGAUUAUCAAUACCAUAGUUUUGUAAUAAAUUGGACUCUGUAGAUAUUAAGUGAGUUUGUAAAAAAAAAGAUGAGGAAGUACUGAAAUUGGCCUAAAAAUAGAAGAAGAAUGUUUGUUUGUUUGUUUUUUAAUUGAAAUAUAUUUUUGAUUCAUAUUUUUGACUUAUAUUUUUUGCUCAUGUAACACCCAUACUGUAUGGUAAAUUUCUCCUCCAUUAGAAAUCUACGUUAAAAAAAAAAGAAAGACUUUCAGAAGUAGGACUUGGAGGAUUAUACACAAUUUCAGGAUAACAAGGACUGCUGUUGUUUAAACAAGAAGGUAACUAUGCACCUUGCAGCUGUAGUGGCUCACUCCCUGCUUUCCCAGUGGGAUUGGGGAGAGAAAUAGAAAAAAAAUAUUGAAUUCAUAGCUUGAGAUAGCAGCUAUUUAAUAAGCAGAAGAGGAGAGGAGAAAUAGUAUUUAGUAUUGCUAAUUAUAUAUUUAAAUGUAUAUUUAAAAAGUAAACAAUGCACAACAGAAAUGCUCACAAUGCCUAAUUCUGAAAAUACACAGGAUAUUGGACAAAAUCUCUGUGUGAACAUUGUUGAGAAAAAUCUCAAUAAAUAAACUGAAUGCAUCUAUCUAUUGAUGCGUUUUAUGCGUUUUGGGAUGAACAAAUUCCUAAGAAUGCUCAGAUAAUUAAAUACAGCCCUAUGUUCUAGAACUUGCUCGCUACUGUGUAUGAUAACUUGCUUCAACAUUUUCAUCUGAUGGAUACGACAUUUUCCUUUUGAGGAAUCUUUGGUUUGUUUCUUUAAAAUCUACUCCUCAUGUUAAAUAAAUGGAAAGUCAUAAAUUCUUCACUUGCUUCUGAAAUAUUAUUUGAAGGCACAGAUACAGGCUACAAGCAAUGGAUAUUCACAAAAUCAGCCAUCUCAAUUCUAGUAGCAAAUUUUCUAAGAAUUGCAUAAAAAUAAAUGACAGGGAAGAACAAGUGGGAAAAACUGUAUCUUUGGUUCUCACUACAAUAUUUUCAUUCAUAUCCUUUAAAAUAUAAAUUUUAUGGAAGCUUUGGGACUUCCCAAGAAUGAUAUUGUAUGUGAUUUAAUUUAAAGUCAAUAAUUUUGUAAAGCUUGAAUGGGAAUUUUACUUCUCUAUUGUUUAACCAGGGUCUUGAGAUGGAGGUAAAUUUAAAGGAUAAAGACAUGCUAGGGUUAGUGACCUCCUUCAACUCUUUUAAAAGUCUUUAUAAAAUACAAUUCUCAUGAUUGUAUUAUUUCAGCAAAAGAAACAACGGGAUGCCUACUGAACUCAAAACACUGAUGAAAUUUCCAUGAGAAUGGCCAACUUUGAGGAUUAAAUGGCAGCUAAUGUAACCUUAUUUUAAAAAGUUCUGUUUUGUUUUGUUUUAUUUUGUUUCCACUUUGAGUCUAUGAGACCUUGAAAUGUCAAGUUUACUCUUAUUAGUGUGUUGAUGUCAGUUAUGUUAGUGUGAUUGUAUAUGUAUUUCAGAGUAUGAUAGUUUUCUUCAAAAGAUUGUAAAGGAGAAAAAUAUAACAGAAACCACAAUUUAAUUCACUUUAUUAUAUGUAAAUAUAAGUAUUUUGUAGUAAUUAAUCUGAUACGGUAACUCAUCAUUAACUAUUGGGUAUGUGGUAGAUUUCCACAGAGAUUCAAGCAUUUUUUCUUGACGUUGCUACCAAACUCAAAAAUUAUACAAAAUCCUACUGAUUUUGUUCUAUCUAGAUUCCAACUAACUUAUUCCUAAUAUAAAUAAACAAAUAAAACAAACAGACAAAAAAAGCAACCCAAAGCCCCCAGAAUCCUAUAUGGCUUUUUAAAAUGUUUAUUUUAAAAAAAGAUUGAUUAAUCUUACCUGACAUUUUUUUAGCACAGAAGCUUCUAAAUAUAAUCAAGAGCACAAUGAGAACAAAUGUACUGUUAUAAAUUUGUACAUUAGUUUUUAAUGGAUUGUUCUCAUAAAUAUUUGGUGCAAUAAAAGAUCACAUAUUACUGAACAUUCUGUGCUUUUUUUUUUUCAGAUUUGUUUGGUUAAAAUGAGGUCAAAGAGUAAAUUUGUUAACCUUCUAACAGCAUGCUUUUGACUAUUAAAUAUUAUUUGGAUCAUUGUCUUCUAUUUUAUUUUAUUAAGUACUUGCAGAAAUGCGUCCAGUUUUUCUUAUGAAACAGUACCCAACUUUGAUACCUGACAUGGUUAAGAUCAAUAUUUUCAGUAUAAAAGUAAUACAUGUGUAAAAUUGUAACAUUGAUGAAGAACAGCAGAAUAUGAACAAUGACACAUUGAGUUUUCAUUUGCAAUUCCUCAAAUUGUAAGUAUGUGAUAGUUAUUAUUUGUUCAUAAGUUCUGAAGAAUACUAAAGAUUUCACCUUCCUGAGUGAUGUAUUUUAUCCUGUAACUUUUUUUAAGUAGUUACAUAACAAAAUCACCUAAAAACUAGGUAUUUCCAAAAUGCAAGAAGCGAGUGCUGAUAGUUACAAAAGGAUUUAUUAGCAUGCUGCAAAAGAUUGAGACAAGUGAGCAGCUCAUUACUGAUUUAGUAAGAGAGAAUGACCGUACUUGAUGACCUUGCUAGCUUGUCUUUACCUAUGUAUCUUUUCUUACAUGUGAAACAGAUAAAUGUGAGAAAUGCCAUUUCAUGGACACAUAAGCAUAAUUGUUCUUACUUUUAGUCUUAAUGUGCCCAACAAUCUCCUUUCUACCUUCUCCUCAUGGGACUUUGGUAGAGAAAAAUGUCACUGAACAAGAAGAAAUAAACAAUAAUGCAAAGUUCUAGUUAAAAAAAAAGGAUGGGUUAUCAGAAAUGGUCAAUAAAGAUAUUCUUCCUGUACUAAGGAAUGCAGUUAUAUCAGUUAGAAGUGUUAUUACAGAAAUCCUUAUCAAUAUGACUUAAUAAAGACUCCUGUUAGGAAAGGGAAUGACUUGAAGGGAUUCAGCAGAGUUACCUGGAUAAGACAGUAUUAAUCUGUAAAGAAAUUUUCAAGAAUAGUGCAGAGGUUUUAUGAGUAUCUUAUAAAGAUGAAUCACUCUUUGUCUUUAAUUUAGGAUAGCUCCCUAUAUGUCACUAUCUGUUAGAACAUCAUGUCCAUUUUACAUUUGUAUUAUUUUCCUUUCUGCUUUAUGCUUGUCAGCACCUUGACAACACUAUCAGUCCCUACUGUUCCUGCCCAGCUCAGCCUUCCUCCAGCCUAAUAGUUGUCCAGACACUCCAUUUCUUCUGUCUAGGGCUCUCCUGCCCCAGCAAUGCCAUAGAAGGAACAGUCUGCAAGUAGCUUGUCUCUUACCCCAUCUCCUUUCGUUUCUUACUAGACAUACCAGCUCCAGUCUUGUCCCAUUUGGAGCACACUUAUUCUUGCUUCUCCCUGGUAAAUCUCCUAGCCCCAUCUCUUUACUACAGUAAUAAGGGUGUGAUUAGGUGUAUUCUGCCUUUGUAUUAUUUUUUUGACAAAUAAGAUAUUAUCCAGGAAAAAUAACUCUUACUCAACAUGUCUAUGCUGACAUAUUUGAUCAUUUUUAUGGUUUUAUUACUUUAAUUUACUUGUGUCCUGUCAACACUCCCAGAGGCACCCAAAAUGUGUAGAAAAAUACUUAAUACAAGCUUUAAUUUGAUAUUGUUUCUGUUACAAAAUAAAUCUUUUAUUUGUUCACAUUUUUUUUCUUUUUUAUUGUUUUAAUGGAAAGUGAAGCUUUUUGUGGAGAAUGUGUUUUAGGUUAAAUGCUGCUUGUGCAUUAUAUUCUUCUUUUAACUUUUUAACUUAAAAACGAUUCGCUACGUAUUUAAAUUUUUUUCUUCAGACUAUGCACAUUUUAUAUUAAAAUAAUAGUUUACUGAUUCCAGUGCAGAGCAUUAGGGGACUACAGAUAUCUUUAUUAGAUUGUGUUAGGACAACAGAGUAUCCAUGGCAUGUCAACCAUUAAUAAGAAAUAAAUGUGUUUCAUAUCUCUAAGUGUAACAAUUUACUCUAUCAACUUUGUAGUUGAGUGAUUAUGUAUUUCUCUGGAAAUUUCAAUGCUGUUUUCUGAAAAACUACUGUCAAAAACACAACCUCUGUGAUACUGUCAGCAUGAAGAAACCUCUUUAUAUUUUACUUGAGAAGGUUCUCCUUAUGAAUUCUUUAAAGAGAAACAUAACCUUUUUAGCUGUGAAUAAUUAAAAGUUAUGAUAAAUCUAUUUAGGAAGCAUUCAAGGUAAUGGAUUUUCAGACAGGAGAGUAUUUCUGCAUAGGUUUUACU